rnacentral:tRNA from 1 species
GAGGUUAUAGCUCAGUGGUGGAGUGUGUGCUUAGCAUGCUCAAGGUCCUGGGUUCAAUCCCCAGUAUUUCCA